AUUGAACGCUGGCGGCAUGCUUUACACAUGCAAGUCGAACGGUAACAGGGAGCUUGCUCCGCUGACGAGUGGCGAACGGGUGAGUAAUGCAUCGGAACGUACCCAGUCGUGGGGGAUAACGUAGCGAAAGUUACGCUAAUACCGCAUACGUCCUGAGGGAGAAAGCGGGGGACCGAAAGGCCUCGCGCGAUUGGAGCGGCCGAUAUCAGAUUAGCUAGUUGGUGGGGUAAAGGCCCACCAAGGCGACGAUCUGUAGCUGGUCUGAGAGGACGACCAGCCACACUGGAACUGAGACACGGUCCAGACUCCUACGGGAGGCAGCAGUGGGGAAUUUUGGACAAUGGGCGCAAGCCUGAUCCAGCAAUGCCGCGUGCAGGAAGAAGGCCUUCGGGUUGUAAACUGCUUUUGUACGGAACGAAAAGGUCUGGGUUAAUACCCUGGGCUCAUGACGGUACCGUAAGAAUAAGCACCGGCUAACUACGUG
rnacentral:rRNA from 1 species